AUGGCCCUUACGAGUAGGGCUACACACGUGCUACAAUGGCGCAUACAGAGGGCGGCCAACUUGCGAAAGUGAGCGAAUCCCAAAAAGUGCGUCGUAGUCCGGAUUGGAGUCUGCAACUCGACUCCAUGAAGUCGGAAUCGCUAGUAAUCGUGGAUCAGAAUGCCACGGUGAAUACGUUCCCGGGCCUUGUACACACCGCCCGUCACACCAUGGGAGUGGGCUGCAAAAGAAGUAGGUAGUUUAACCUUAGGGGGGACGCUUACCACUUUGUGGUUCAUGACUGGGGUGAAGUCGUAACAAGGUAGCGCUAGGGGAACCUGGCGCUGGAUCACCUCCUUAAACGAUGAU
rnacentral:rRNA from 1 species